rnacentral:lncRNA from 1 species
AGUUUAUUGUGUUUGGGGUUGGAAUCACCAAGAGACCAAUUAACACCUUAUUUUUAGGAUUAGCCAUUCUGGUAUUUGCAGAUAGUUUCUUAAACAGGACUGUUUGGAGUUCACACUGUAGGAGUAAGUGAAGUGUUGAUAAAAGAGAUUCCAGAACAAAUAAAGAUUUCUACAGUAAAAGCUGGGGAGGUGUGUAGGGCUCCAGUCUUUGGGUUCACAGCUUGGCUCUACAUUCAUUGCUGGAGGAAUCCAAGCCUCACAAAAGACUGCUUUUAAAGAAAAAACUCUAUUUUUCUUAGAAGAACUAGAAUAUGUAACACCAUUGUGAGAAAUAAAACCCCAAGGUGAACAAGAUUGAAAGUGAAGGCAGCGCUCUAAGGAGGAAGCCAGCUGGCUUGAAUGGUGAUGUAAAUAGCCUUGGAGCUUUAACCAAACUUGAGUAAGAACUCCCUGACUUGGAAACACUCAAGUUUCCCACACGCAACUGGAUGGCCCUGGCCACACUGGGAACGGAAUGGGGGCCUCCCAUUGGAACUCGGGGUGGAGGGGGAAGCUCGACCAGCUAUUGU